rnacentral:rRNA from 1 species
UGGGGAAUUUUGGACAAUGGGCGCAAGCCUGAUCCAGCAAUGCCGCGUGCAGGAUGAAGGCCUUCGGGUUGUAAACUGCUUUUGUACGGGGCGAAAAGGCUUCCACUAAUACUGGGGGCUCAUGACGGUACCGUAAGAAUAAGCACCGGCUAACUACGUGCCAGCAGCCGCGGUAAUACGUAGGGUGCAAGCGUUAAUCGGAAUUACUGGGCGUAAAGCGUGCGCAGGCGGUCUUGUAAGGCAGGUGUGAAAUCCCCGGGCUUAACCUGGGAACUGCACUUGUGACUGCAAGGCUGGAGUACGGCAGAGGGGGAUGGAAUUCCGCGUGUAGCAGUGAAAUGCGUAGAUAUGCGGAGGAACACCGAUGGCGAAGGCAAUCCCCUGGGCCUGUACUGACGCUCAUGCACGAAAGCGUGGGGAGCAAACAGGAUUAGAUACCCUGGUAGUCCACGCCCUAAACGAUGUCAACUGGUUGUUGGGUCUUCACUGACUCAGUAACGAAGCUAACGCGUGAAGUUGACCGCCUGGGGAGUACGGCCGCAAGGUUG